rnacentral:lncRNA from 1 species
CAAAAUAGAAAGAGAACCAAGGAACAUAGUGAAACCAUAUUUGACCUUUAACUUUAAUAGAUCUUGCAAACCCUCCCUCUAAAAGAGUUUCAUUGCAUACCGGCCACUCAUAUUGAAGCAAAGGUCAUAUAGAAUCAAUGGUUGAUAUGCUAGCAUAAAUUCAUAAAUUCUAUUAUCAUUAACCAAAAUAGAACGAAUGAACAGAAAACACAAGGAAACAUGUUAUCUUUUCAUACUUCAUCCAUUAAUUAUUAUUAACGUCGAUGGGGAAAAGAAUAUUAACGAGUAUGCUAAGCAAGCACUUAUUGAAGAAGCUAAAUAAUCUUCUUUAAAAGUUUUAGCAAGUCCAAAAUCCCCCAUAGCAGAACAAGAAGCAAGGAAGAAGAUUAUUAGUAGGGAGUACGUUAGUUUUGAAGUGAAUAAAAGACAUAAAUUUCAAAUUCAUCCAAACAAUCAUCUUGAUCUUUAGCAAGAAAGAUGCUGGAGCACUGCCGAGAAAAUGUUAUGGAAAUCAGCCCAAAAAAGCAUUUAAGAUACGANAUUUGAUGAA